CACCUUCUCCCCAAAGAGAGGGGAGUAAGGGAAUUUUAGGGUUAGGAGGGAGAGGGUCAUCAGGGCUCUAGGAAAGGGGCGGAGAUUUCCAGGGGCAGCCAGGUCAUGCGCAGUCGGCCAUGUUCCUUUGCACGUGGAACAAAUUGUGCCUAGCAGAGCACAAAUCCCCGCUUUGGGUGGAGAUGUUAGCAAGGUAAUGAAGCGAAGGUAAUGCUGGGACAGCCCCCUGGUUUCAUCUGCGCAGGCGUGUUCCCGUGGUCGUCAGAGCUGGUUUGGGAUGGUUGACCACUGUGUAUCUCUCAAAGUACAGCCCGCGAAGCAUGUCUGCCAAACACCAGGUACUUUUGAAACAAACACAGAGAUAAAUCUGGGACCUUAUCUUCAGCUGGACCGGACCCCCCCUCCCAGGAACUGGGUAGGCAGAGAGUCUAGAGCCUGAAUCCUUCACCUGUACAUCACUAGCUUUAUCUGCAUGCUUAUUAACCAUACCUGAAUUCAGAAAGGCUCACAAAUACAAGAAAUAAAUAGGAACACAGCAAGAUGGAAGAAUGGGAGGUUUUCUGAGGUAAGUGACAAGAGAGGUGGAAGGAAGAAGGACAUAUUAGAGGCUAUGCCCACAUAAAGGGUUGUCUAAGGUGGAAGUAACUAAAUCAGUAUGAGAAAGAUAAAGAAAAGGGGAAUAGGGGAUGGAGGGGCUAGGUUCUAGGCAAAGUCCAUUAACCCUGACAAAGAAGAAAGGAGGUGUAGGGAAGAGUCAGCAG